AGAGUUUGAUCCUGGCUCAGGAUGAACGCUAGCGGCAGGCCUAACACAUGCAAGUCGAGGGGUAACGAUGGCUUCGGCCAGGCGACGACCGGCGCACGGGUGAGUAUCGCGUUUGUAACCUACCUCUAACUGGAAGAUAGCCCGAAGAAAUUCGGAUUAAUACUCCAUAACACUAUGAAUUGGCAUCUUUUUAUAGUUAAAGCUCAGGCGGUUAGAGAUGGGCAUGCGUGACAUUAGUUUGUUGGUGAGGUAACGGCUCACCAAGACUACGAUGUCUAGGGGGUCUGAGAGGAUGGUCCCCCACACUGGUACUGAGACACGGACCAGACUCCUACGGGAGGCAGCAGUGAGGAAUAUUGGUCAAUGGGCGCAAGCCUGAACCAGCCAUGCCGCGUGAAGGAUGACGGCGCUACGCGUUGUAAACUUCUUUUGUACAGGAAGAAACAUUUCGAUGUAUCGAAACUUGACGGUACUGUACGAAUAAGCAUCGGCUAACUCCGUGCCAGCAGCCGCGGUAAUACGGAGGAUGCAAGCGUUAUCCGGAUUUA
rnacentral:rRNA from 1 species